rnacentral:rRNA from 1 species
GAAAGCGUGGGGAGCGAACAGGAUUAGAUACCCUGGUAGUCCACGCCGUAAACGGUGGGUACUAGGUGUGGGUUUCCUUCCUUGGGAUCCGUGCCGUAGCUAACGCAUUAAGUACCCCGCCUGGGGAGUACGGCCGCAAGGCUAAAACUCAAAGGAAUUGACGGGGGCCCGCACAAGCGGCGGAGCAUGUGGAUUAAUUCGAUGCAACGCGAAGAACCUUACCUGGGUUUGACAUGCACAGGACGCCAGUAGAGAUAUUGGUUCCCUUGUGGCCUGUGUGCAGGUGGUGCAUGGCUGUCGUCAGCUCGUGUCGUGAGAUGUUGGGUUAAGUCCCGCAACGAGCGCAACCCUUGUCUCAUGUUGCCAGCACGUUAUGGUGGGGACUCGUGAGAGACUGCCGGGGUCAACUCGGAGGAAGGUGGGGAUGACGUCAAGUCAUCAUGCCCCUUAUGUCCAGGGCUUCACACAUGCUACAAUGGCCGGUACAAAGGGCUGCGAUGCCGUGAGGUGGAGCGAAUCCUUUCAAAGCCGGUCUCAGUUCGGAUCGGGGUCUGCAACUCGACCCCGUGAAGUCGGAGUCGCUAGUAAUCGCAGAUCAGCAACGCUGCGGUGAAUACGUUCCCGGGCCUUGUACACACCGCCCGUCACGUCAUGAAAGUCGGUAACACCCGAAGCCGGUGGCCUAACCCUUGUGGAGGGAGCCGUCGAAGGUGGGAUCGGCGAUUGGGACGAAGUCGUAACAAGGUAGCCGUACCGGAAGGUGCGGCUGGAUCACCUCCUUUCUAAGGAGCACCACGAAAAGGCCAAUCAAACUCCGUGAUAGCUGGUUCUCCCCGAAAUGCAUUUAGGUGCAGCGUCACAUGUUUCUUGUUGGAGGUAGAGCUACUGGAUGGCCGAUGGGCCCCACAGGGUUACUGACGUCAGCCAAACUCCGAAUGCCGACAAGUCCAAGAGUGUGGCAGUGAGACGGCGGGGGAUAAGCUCCGUGCGUCGAGAGGGAAACAGCCCAGAUCGCCGGCUAAGGCCCCUAAGCGUGUGCUAAGUGGAAAAGGAUGUGCAGUCGCGAAGACAACCAGGAGGUUGGCUUAGAAGCAGCCACCCUUGAAAGAGUGCGUAAUAGCUCACUGGUCAAGUGAUUGUGCGCCGAUAAUGUAGCGGGGCUCAAGCACACCGCCGAAGCCGCGGCAGCCAUUUAUGGCUGGGUAGGGGAGCGUCCUGCAUCCGGUGAAGCAGCAGAGUGAUCUAGCUGUGGAGGGUGUGGGAGUGAGAAUGCAGGCAUGAGUAGCGAAUAGGCAAGUGAGAACCUUGCCCGCCGAAAGACCAAGGGUUCCUGGGCCAGGCCAGUCCUCCCAGGGUGAGUCGGGACCUAAGGCGAGGCCGACAGGCGUAGUCGAUGGACAACGGGUUGAUAUUCCCGUACCCGUGUAUGUGCGUCCCUGAUGAAUCCAUUGUGCUAACCAUCCAAAACCACCGUGACCAAUCCCUUCGGGGUGCGGCGUUGGUGGGGCUGCGUGGGACCCCGGUGGGUAGUAGUCAAGCGAUGGGGUGACGCAGGAAGGUAGCCGUACCAGUCAGUGGUUGUACUGGGGUAAGCCGGUAGGGCGAAACGUAGGCAAAUCCGCGUUUCAUACAGCCUGAGAGGUGAUGCAUAGCCGUUUGAGGCGAAUUCGGUGAUCCUAUGCUGCCAAGAAAAGCCUCUAGCGAGGACAUACACGGCCCGUACCCCAAACCAACACAGGUGGUCAGGUAGAGAAUACUAAGGCGUACGAGUGAACUAUGGUUAAGGAACUCGGCAAAAUGCCCCCGUAACUUCGGGAGAAGGGGGACCCCCAUAUCGUCAAGGCUCUUGCGGCCGGCAGCGGGAGGGGGUGGCACAAACCAGUGAGAAGCGACUGUUUACUAAAAACACAGGUCCGUGCGAAGUCGCAAGACGAUGUAUACGGACUGACGCCUGCCCGGUGCUGGAAGGUUAAGAGGACCUGUUAACCUUCGGGGUGAAGCAGAGAAUUUAAGCCCCAGUAAACGGCGGUGGUAACUAUAACCAUCCUAAGGUAGCGAAAUUCCUUGUCGGGUAAGUUCCGACCUGCACGAAUGGCGUAACGACUUCUCAACUGUCUCAACCAUAGACUCGGCGAAAUUGCACUACGAGUAAAGAUGCUCGUUACGCGCGGCAGGACGAAAAGACCCCGGGACCUUCACUACAACUUGGUAUUGGUGCUCGAUACGGUUUGUGUAGGAUAGGUGGGAGACUGUGAAGCUCACACGCCAGUGUGGGUGGAGUCGUUGUUGAAAUACCACUCUGAUCGUAUUGGGCCUCUAACCUCGGACCGUAUAUCCGGUUCAGGGACAGUGCCUGGUGGGUAGUUUAACUGGGGCGGUUGCCUCCCAAAAUGUAACGGAGGCGCCCAAAGGUUCCCUCAACCUGGACGGCAAUCAGGUGUUGAGUGUAAGUGCACAAGGGAGCUUGACUGCGAGACGUACAUGUCGAGCAGGGACGAAAGUCGGGACUAGUGAUCCGGCACCUCUGAGUGGAAGGGGUGUCGCUCAACGGAUAAAAGGUACCCCGGGGAUAACAGGCUGAUCUUCCCCAAGAGUCCAUAUCGACGAUGGUUUGGCACCUCGAUGUCGGCUCGUCGCAUCCUGGGGCUGGAGCAGGUCCCAAGGGUUGGGCUGUUCGCCCAUUAAAGCGGCACGCGAGCUGGGUUUAGAACGUCGUGAGACAGUUCGGUCUCUAUCCGCCGCGCGCGUCAGAAGCUUGAGGAAAUCUGUCCCUAGUACGAGAGGACCGGGACGGACGAACCUCUGGUAUACCAGUUGUUCCACCAGGAGCACCGCUGGAUAGCCACGUUCGGACAGGAUAACCGCUGAAAGCAUCUAAGCGGGAAACCCCCUCCAAGACCAGGCUUCUCACCCUUUUAGAGGGAUAAGGCCCCCCGCAGACCACGGGAUUGAUAGACCAGACCUGGAAGCCCAGCAAUGGGUGCAGGGAACUGGCACUAACCGGCCGAAAACUUACAACA